rnacentral:rRNA from 1 species
GUGCCAGCAGCCGCGGUAAUACGUAGGGUGCAAGCGUUGUCCGGAAUUACUGGGUGUAAAGGGUCCGCAGGCGGGCCGACAAGUCGGUGGUGAAAGCUCACGGCUCAACCGUGAGAUUGCCUUCGAUACUGUCGGUCUUGAGUUCGAGAGAGGAUGAUGGAAUUCAUGGUGUAGCGGUGAAAUGCGUAGAGAUCAUGAAGAACACCGGUAGCGAAGGCGGUCAUCUGGCUCGAUACUGACGCUCAGGGACGAAAGCGUGGGUAGCAAACAGGAUUAGAUACCCCAGUAGUCC